GACGAACGCUGGCGGCGUGCUUAACACAUGCAAGUCGAACGGAAAGGCCUGCUUUCCCUUGUGGAUUGCGGGUACUCGAGUGGCGAACGGGUGAGUAACACGUGAGUGAUCUGCCCCCAACUUGGGUAUAAGCCUGGGAAACUGGGUCUAAUUCCCGAUAGGACUGCAGGGUGGUGCCUGUGGUGGAAAACGAUUUUCUAGUGGUUGGGGAUGAGCUCGCGGCCUAUCAGCUUGUUGGUGGGGUAAUGGCCUACCAAGGCGGCGACGGGUAGCCGGCCUGGGAGGGUGGACGGCCACAUUGGGACUGAGAUACGGCCCAGACUCCUACGGGAGGCAGCAGUGGGGAAUAUUGCACAAUGGGCGGAAGCCUGAUGCAGCGACGCCGCGUGGGGGAUGACGGCCUUCGGGUUGUAAACCCCUUUCGACCGCGAGGAAGCCACCUGGUUGGAAGGGUGGUGACGGUAGUGGUAGAAGAAGCACCGGCUAACUACGUG
rnacentral:rRNA from 1 species